GGUUGAUCCUGCCAGUAGCAUACGCUUGUCUCAAAGAUUAAGCCAUGCAUGUCUAAGUAUAAACAAAUCUAUACGUGAAACUGCGAAUGGCUCAUUAUAUCAGUUAUAGUUUAUUUGAUGGUUCUUGCUACUUGGAUAACCGUAGUAAUUCUAGAGCUAAUACAUGCGUCAAACCCCGACUUCUGGGAGGGGUGUAUUUAUUAGAUGGAAACCAAUGCGGGGCAACCCGGUAUAUGGUGAUUCAUAAUAACUUUCGGAUCGAUCUUCGGAUCGAUGCAUCAUUCAAGUUU
rnacentral:rRNA from 1 species